GCGGUAACACCGGCAGCUCAAGUGGUGGCCGCUUUUAUUGGGCCUAAAGCGUUCGUAGCCGGCCUGAUAAGUCUCUGGUGAAAUCCCGCAGCUUAACUGUGGGAAUUGCUGGAGAUACUAUCAGGCUUGAGGCCGGGAGAGGCUGGAGGAACUCCCAGGGUAGGGGUGAAAUCCUAUAAUCCUGG
rnacentral:rRNA from 1 species